GGAGUCAGUUCUGUAGGAAGCUCAGGAUGGCUUCUGGAAAGUGUCUAAGCAGCACCAGCUAGUGGGGAUCCAGACACAGCUCAAAGGAGUUCAGGAAAGAAAACAGGCCAUCUGAGCCCUAGAGGAUCUGUUCAGAUGCAAACCUGACCAGGGGCUUUGGGACCUGGAAAAGCUCGAGGCACACUGCGUUCUCCAUGAUGCAGCUGGAUGAAAUAGAGGGUUGCAUUUGGUACUGAAAAUUCAUACUUCAGAAAAUAAAAUGCUGCUGUGAGAAGAUACUGCAGGUGUGGAUUUGAAAGCUGAUGGAAGAAGAUUGUGAACAGAAUUCUACCUCUGUGCCAACACUGUGACCAGGGCCCAUUUAUUGUGAACAGGUUCCUGGUAUGU
rnacentral:lncRNA from 1 species